GCAGUCGCCGCGGGAAUACAGAGGGUGCGAGCGUUAAUCGGAUUUACUGGGCGUAAAGCGUGCGUAGGCGGCUUAUUAAGUCGGAUGUGAAAUCCCUGAGCUUAACUUAGGAAUUGCAUUCGAUACUGGGAAGCUAGAGUAUGGGAGAGGAUGGUAGAAUUCCAGGUGUAGCGGUGAAAUGCGUAGAGAUCUGGAGGAAUACCGAUGGCGAAGGCAGCCAUCUGGCCUAAUACUGACGCUGAGGUACGAAAGCAUGGGGAGCAAACAGGAUUAGAUACCCGUGUAGUCCCUGUCUCUUAUAC
rnacentral:rRNA from 1 species